rnacentral:lncRNA from 1 species
ACCCUGUUGCUUGCAUCACCCGGUUCCAACCCUAUAUGAAAGUUUCAUGAGCAUGUUUCUGUCACUGAGGCAGCUUCUCCAUUUGGCAUAUAAUUGAGAAAUUGCUAGUUUGUGGCUGAGACAUUGGUUUGAGAGGAGACGUAAUUUAUAUAUUUAGCAGAAUGCUUAAGUUACAUUUCCAGAGAUUAAUUUAAUUCUACUUUUAAUUAAGUUAACCCUUUGCUGUAUCUUUACAAGACGUAGGUGGAGAUUUAAUUUUGACUCUUAGAUUCAGUUAAGGUGAUGAAAUUGGCAUUAUAUAGUUUUUGAUGCUGAGCCCCACGGAGAUUAAAAGAUUUGCUAAACACCAUGCAAUUUUUGAAUCACAUCUCUAAUCUCACAUUAUUCUGUACUCUAUUUUUUGCUUGUAUGAUUGAUGGGUCUUUCAUUAUCUGUGAUUGACAUUCUAUGAGUAGGUGCUUUUGCUUUGCCUAUAAGUCGUUAUUAUGAAGGAGGAAUGGUGAAUAAGAAGGUAAUUUAGAAAAGCCUAUAUUAAAUAUACCAUGAACAUUGAAUAUAGCAAGAUCUUAUUCUCUAGUUGUUAUCUUAGUUGAUAAAUUCUGUAUGUGUUAUGUGUUUGUGUAUACAUAUGUACAUAUUAAUGAUGUGGGUGUUGAUACUGUGAUCACAUGACAAAUGACUGGUUUAUAGUGAAAAGCUGUUGGGGUUCAGAGAAAUGAACAUUCUUCUAAAAGUGAGGUAGAUAAGUUAUUUUAUAGUUCUUGCCUUUGAGUCUCUGUUCUUCUGGUAGAAAUGUUAGUGUAUUUAUAACCUCUCAGAUUUGUUUGGUUCUCUUAGUGUUCUUGAUCCAGGCAGUUAGCGAUAUGUUGGAUGAAUUGAGAAAAAUGAGUUUUUCCUUUCCUACUAACUGAAUUAGAUUAGAAAUAAGCAGUUAAGUGAGAAAAAUAGGGAAUUAGUGCCAGAUAUGUUGAGGUGUAGUGUUGACAGGGGGUCUUUUACCUUCAGAUGUUUGGUGCAACUUAGAGAAUGCAGUGGUAGUUGCUGGCCCAGCCCAUCCAAACAACCUCAUUUGUGGGGUGAUACUUCACAGAUGACUUAAAAUAAAUCCCCUGAAAAUAAGAAUCUCUGGAAGAGAUGACACGUGUAUGUGCGUGUGUGCACGUGUGUGCGUGUGUGCACGUGUGUGUGUGUGUGUGUUUUGGUGGAGUGGUAGGAGGAGGGUUGGCUUAAUGAUGAGAAUCAUUAUUUCUUGAAUUGGAUGACACUUUCCAUUCCUGCAAAGGGAGCGUGAGGUCCAGCCUUGCUAAUUCAUGAUCAAAGUAAUUUGCUGAGAGUAGUGGAAGGAAUGAGUUAGCAGAAGAUGGCAAAUUGCAUUAAUGAGUAGUAGGAGGAAAACAAAUAAGCAAAUUUUAAUGUGGUUGGAACAUGUUCCUGAGUUGUAUGAAGGGAGACAGGUAAAUUGAGAGUAAUGUUAUGAUUGUUUCAUUUGUUGGAAAUAAGGAAAACUUGCAUGGUUUGAAUUGUGGAACAAUAGGUGGUGUAUGUUAGGAGUCAGAAUUAUCAUUUAACAUGUAAGUUUCUGUUUUACUUCAGAUAAAGAAUGUCAGCUACCUUUCCCAUGUUAGCUUCUAUACCUUUUCUUGAGGUGACCAUAAAUAGGUAAUAUUGUCUUUCACUGAGAUUGUUUUAAUUAGCGAAGUGUGCUGAUUAAAUGUCUUUUCUUGAUAAAUUAUUAGAAUGAAUAAAGGAUGGUAUUUCUAGAUAGCCUUGGUUAGUCAGUGAUUUGUUUAAAUUUAGUGUGGAUAAGAAUCACCUGAGGGCUUUUUAAACACAGUUUACUGGGUCCUGACCUUAGUGUUUCUGGCUUAUUAGGUAUAAGUAUGAGAAGUUGAUUUUUAUCAAGUUUCUAGAUGCUACAGAUCUAGGAACCAUACUUAGAGUGCUAUUAUAUGUCUUUUAAUGUACACUGAUAUGGAAAAAGCAAUGAUACAUCAUGUUAUCGCAUAUUUUAAAAUGUGAUCAUGACCAGGGAAUCUUGAAAGUUGUCUUAUGUAAUAAUGUAAAUCAAUGUAGAAUACCAUAUAUUUUUUUCUUGCAAGGUUAUUAUUAAUAGGAAUGACUAUUUGUAGCCAAUGUGUUCAAAUGCAUGGGAGGACGUAAACACUUCAUAAUUUCCUGGAAAUACAGACAUAUAUCACUUAAAAUAAUACAUUUCUAAUAUAAAUUUAAAUUAUCUACGUGAUAUGAGGAAACGAGCUUAUUUUUGAUAAUUUUCCUAGCAGUGAAUCAACUAUACUCAUUUGAAUCUAAAUUAAAUUAAAUUUGAGUAAAUUCAGCCAUUUCUAAAUUCAGUCCAUAUAAAUUCACUUUGGGUAAAAGAAGACAAAAUUCCUGAAAACAGUAGAUUAAAAAAAUAACAUUUUAAGAGCAGGUAUGAUCUCAAUGAAUAUAGUGUGGUAAUUUCUGCCUAAUACCUACCCUUUUGGAGGAAGGAAAGGUAAUCCUGUUUGUGUUUAAUGUUAAUUACUGAACUCUUUAUAACUUGUUUUAUUUAUUUAUUGUUUGAUUUUAAGCAUCUGCUUCUGGUGGACUUACAUAUGUUGGGUUUGGGAAAUUUCAACAUACAGGUUGGCAUUCCAGUGGCUAUAGUUGUUUCUUGAAAUUUAGUACUGUUUUCCAAUGAUGAUUCUCUUUGGGAAUAGGCUGUUCUCUUUUACUUAAAAACUGUAAAAUUAGCCACUUCAGUUGAGACUCCUCCAGGUUUGGAAGUGGUGAAGAAUAUGGAUAUAUUCAGAUCAAAUCAGUCAUUCUCUGUGAUACAGCAACUGAACAAGAAACCCAGACUUCAAACAAGCAGACUUCUUUGGGUUGGACUGAAUAAAAUGAGAAGAAAUUACAGAGGAUUUGAAAAUGUAUAUGGCCUAGGAAUUAUUGAAAUUAUUUUGGAGGGUGGCAACAAAUUUGGGACAUUGUACUUUCUGUUUUAAUGUCAAUUGUAUAAUGUGUAACUCUAGUGAGCAUGGCUGGAUACCGUGGCUUCACAUUUUAGGUAGACUGGGUGUUUUAUCUACUGAGUGAAUUACAGCCUUCGGCAAUGAUGUCAAGGUAGCAACAAAACCCAAAAAAUCCAUCCUUUAGAAAUUGUUUUAAGUCACAAUGAUGAUACCUUCUUUAAAAGCUUUGACUUACUGAAAUAAUGCUUUUCAUUUGUCCAAGAUGAGUACAUAGCAGAAUUUGGAAAUAUGGUUCCAAAAGGCUAAAUAGACUGACUUUUUUGAUAUUUUUCCCUUAUAGGGAGAAAGAAACAUUAACGGUUUAUCAGAUGCCUUGACUGUACUUUUUACUGCUUUGUCUUCAAGGCCUAGUGUAAUAAUUAACAUCUAGUAUGUGUUUGAUGGAUAGCCAAUUUUUGCUUCAUUGGUAUGUUGUUACCACAGUCAUUGGUAGAGUCAAUAUAUGAAUGAAGAAAGUAUAACAAAUUUGCCCUCUAGUAGAGUACAGGCAAAGUAUGGCCGUCAGUUUCACCCUGAUUUUUUUUCCUCCAUUCUUUUUUAGGGUUUAGGUCAAGAACAAGGGCAUUUCAUUGUACCACAUAGCUGAGAGUAGGGAAUUGGGACAUACUGUCUUGCUUUAAAUUAAAGUUGUCUGUUUCAUCAAGUAGAGAGGUUCCUAAGAUAUUGCCAGAUUUCUGACUCGGGGUUUGUUAAAAAUAGAAAAGGUAGUUCCUUAAGGUUGUAUUUUAUUGGAUGCCUCCACCUGCUUCAGGCUAGCUCACUGGAGAAUAAAUAUUCCAGGUUAAAAAAAAAAAAGCAUGUGUUCACGUGAACUUGUCCUUUGAGCAAACCUGUUGGAAAUCAAGAGGUCAUUGCUGUUGGAGAGGAUAAGAGGGUGUACUUGUUGGUGUGUUAAGAGUAGUUCACAACAUAAAAAUAAAUGUAAAUGCAUCUAUUAUAUUUGGGUUGGCAAAAUAUAUUGGUUAUUUACUCUGUUGAUUCCUGUAGUGUACAUAAAUAUGAUCUACAACUCUGUGAACAAAAAGGCUUGAAAAAUUGUUCUGAAAAUGGACAAAUCAUGAACAGAUAAUUGAACAAGAAAAUAAGCAGAAAGUAAAUUUGUGAAAUAUUUCAAACUCAUUUACAUUCAGAAACAUCUUUUUAAGAUCACUGUGAUACAUUCGACUGUCAAUUCUGAAGAGACGUAUAAAGGAAAUGCCAGCUAAGGAGCAAGGAAACAGCUUUCAUUCAUGGGCUAAAUUGCAGCUUAAAAAAGAUGGACCAGGAUUAUUUCCUUUAGAAACUUACUGUACAAAAGAUACUGUUCACCCCAUUAGAGAACUGAUUUGAAGUUACUCUUCCCUGUGAGGGCUCUGUCAUCUUAACUGUAUUCACAUACUUUCAACUGUUCCCCUUGCUGCUAACCUCAGGUUCUUUAGUUCAUCUAUCUGGCAGAGCUGAUUUGGGGAAAACAAGACAAACCUUCUCAGGUUUUCUUAAUAAAUAAGCAGUUGUCAUGUUUCAAGAGUUUUAGAAAUGAGCAAUAAUCAAGGAAGAGGACAACGAUUGCAUACGUUUAUAAUAUUUAGAACAUCUUUUGCCACAAUAAACACUGGAAACCACCCACUUGUGGACACCAAACAUUUGGAUUUGUAUAUUUUGUGGCAUUCCCUCACUCUAAUCCUCUCAUCCUUAAAAAUUUUCAGAAAUUUUUGCAGCAACAAACACUGAUUGCAACAUAUGAUUUAGGGUAGAUUUAUGAACCAUUUUUUCACUGAAAUACAUCAACAGGAGUGAGUAGUCUGAGUGACCACCCCAGCAUGGAGAAAACUGUAGUUUACAGAUUCUUCUGGAGCAUUUUUAUUUCUAGAUUGCGGUGGAAGUCUAACCCCCCUUGGAGAUGUCUGCCUUAAAGGGUCUUUGGCCAGGGUCCUCUGUAGAGCCAUAGUCCAGAUCUACUCUAUUUGUGUGCUCCUUACAACAUCAGAACAGCAACUCUCAAUCCGGAUUCAUCCCCAGAAUGCCGUCUGAGUCACAGCGUGGCAGGUGCAUAAAGAAUUAUCUACUGAAUUGAGAAACAUUUCAAAUAUAUAAAACUUGAAAUAUUUUGGGUAGUCUGUACAAACUCAAGUUGACAAGCCAACCCUGCAGGAAUAUAUGGAUAGAAGGGGAAGGAUAACAUGUUGAAUUCAGCUACAUGCCUCAUCAGCUAGAAAACCUUGGAAGAAAGAAAGAUAGAUUGAUACUUGCCUGAACUUCAUCAACCAAUAAUAUUUUUUUUCUUGCUAUGGAGAGUCCACUCGCCUUUGGAAGAUUUACCAGUAAAAGCCCUGCACAUGAUAUACUUGUGUGCACAUGCAAUAAGGACAUCAUUCCCCAACUCCUGCUAGCAUUGUGAAAGAGCUCCAAAUAUUCAAAUAAUAUAAACUUUUUUUCGUGGACAUUUAGCUUACGAGUUUGUUUAAAUAUGUGGGAAAAUUAUGUUUAGAUAAUAGUAUUGAAAUGAGAAUGUAAGAUACACAUUGAAUGAUAAAUGUGUAUGAAUUGUUCAUUGUGCCUUAGGUAAGCCAGACAGUGAAAUUAAAUGUGUAAUAGUUGUAUUUUUUUGCAUAAUCUUGGAAUGUAAUUAGUUAAAAGCAAACACUUAGAUUUUGAACAUGAAUCUGUUAAGCUUGUUAAUGUAGUUGCUGUGGCUAAAUAACUGGUUUCCUGGGGAAGCUUCUAUUUGCUAGAAUUUUAUUCUGGAACAGUUGUUAGAAAGGAAUUCUCAGGUCACCUUUUAAAGAUAUACACAAUUCUGUAUUCACUUUUUGAGUGCAUAAGGGUAAUAGAAAAUGACAUGGGAAGCGUUAAUUAGAAAAAAAGGCAUUUUGUUUAUGUGCAUUUGAGGAUACAGUGUUUGAAGUUUCUAAAUAAUUGUUUUAUGACAUUUUCUUGGUACAUAGAUAUUGCUAACAAUUAGUUUGCUGAAGUAUGUAGAAACAUUUUAAGAAAUGAUUUUAGAAAUAUAAUUGUUAAAGUACCUCUGAUGUAUAUUAAAAAUCCUUUUAUUUUGGUUUAUAUUGCUAUGGAUGUUUUUCUGGGGGAACUUAAUGUAUACAACUUCUAACUAAGAAGUUUUAUUAAUGCUGCUUUAUGUAUGAAAGUCAUGGAUGUGGAUGUUAUUUUGUCAGUGGUCUUUCUGUUAAAAUUUACGUGGUGUAAGAUUUUCUUUUCAUGAUGGAAUUGCCAAAAAGGCCAGCCUCUAGAACACUUACAUGUUAAGGGUUGGGUGGGAUUUGUAUUACUUUGUGUAUAUAACCGACAGGAUUGUGUUACUGAAUCUUAACCAGCAUAGAGAUGGCUGACAUUUUGCAUUUUGGGGGACAUUAAAUUGUUACACAAUGAUGUCAUUGGUUACUGAUAGGAGUGUUUAGACUCUUAGAUGGCUUUGUUAGUAUUAGGCAAAUAUUAGAUGUGGAUUUAGGAGAUAAGAGGGUGGGGUGUUGGAGCCCUGUGUGCACAUGAGCAUAUGUUGCAGGGCCUCCAGACCUAAAUCCACGUGAAGAUGGUGGUGGUGGUCUUACCUAUAUGUUAACAUUACAUUGUAAACAGGUAGACUACUUUCCUUUUGCUAGUGGGAGUGUUAAAUCACCUCUCAGAACAUUAAUUCAUUAAAUUGCCCCUAAACAUUAAUUGAUUGCUGGUGGAUAUGCUAAAUAUUUUUAACAUCUAUUUUUCUAAAUGUAUAGAUGUCAUUUUUAAUUCAUAGGGGAUAGAACCAGUUUUGCUUGCAAAAAGCAAACUGUUCACUGGAUCAUUGGGCUUAAUUUUUAGGUUGUGGUAGAUAUAAUAGAAAUGUUCUUACAAUUUGUAGUAUAAUACUGUAUAUCUCUAUAAAUAUAUAUGUGACUGUUUUUCUGAUAGAUGCAACAUGGUGGAAAUGUCAUCAUAAAUGUCGGUCUGCCUUUGUUUAUAGUUUUCAGAUGUGUAUAUGCAGUUUUUUAUACAACAGAAAAAUUGCCACAUGAGUCAAAUAGCAUAGGUUAGAAAAGUUCUCAUUUGCCAAAAAUAUGUGACUUUCAUAAUAGUGAGUUGUUUUUGAUUUAAAAUGUUUCUAUCUGUAGAGGCAUUUUAUAAGUUUUUAUGGGGAUACUAGCAAUGGGAUGUGAAACCUGAGUUCAUUAGAUCAUUGGGUGAUAAUGGAACCCUUAUGUGUAUACAAUAUACAUGGUUAUAUGUUUUUUAAAGCAUAGGAGCUAUUAUGUCUGCAUGGUUCUAAAUAUAUAUACACACACGUAAACACAUAUCUAUAUAUCUAUCUAUAUAGAUAGAUAGAUAAAUACAUACAUAUGUAGUGAAAGCUUUUGUUUCCUCCCUCACAUAGGCAGAUUAUUUGUGUGUGUAAAUGAGCAGCUGAAGGGGAAUUUUGUUACAUGUGUAUAAGACAGUCACAAUAUAUAAUUGUUUUGCUUUAAUUGUUUAGUCUUUGAUUUGUAGGAAUUGCCAACACGUAUAUUUGUGUGUAUGCAGGUUUAUAUAUAAAUACAUAUCACUGUAUAAACAACAUUUAUUGUCAUAGGAUAGAAAUAUUCUUAAGUUGCCAGAGAUACUGUAUGGCUGCUAAAUGUAUAGUAGAAAAAUGUUACCUUUUGCUUUUUAGCAUCUGCAUACAGAUUACUAAUAGGCGUAUAUUGUGACCAGUAAACCACUAGACAAGGGCAUAAACACUUUAGUUUGAUCAGUAGAAUUGCUAUGCCAUGUUUAAAUGGGAUUUAUUUGGUUGAUGCAGAAUAUAUAAUUGUAUCUAGAAGAUAAAUAUUACAAAAAUAUUUUAAUAUACAAUUUCUGUCAUAUUUUUGGAAAUAUAUUUUUAUUCAAAAGUAGAAUCAUUGUUGCCAAUAGAGUUAGCAUCUUUGUGUGCUUGUGAGGUUUGAUUUUGAGGGUUUUCUUGGUUUUGUUUUGGGUUCUGGAGUUCUAAAAAAUGAGAUUGUCUUUGUCUAAACAAUUUUUAUAUAAAAAUGUACAUUUUUGUAUUAUUUUUUCUUAUUCCAACCUAAUCGGUGGCUUGUCCCUUCCUGUGUUUAUUGGGCUGUUGGGUGCCUGGAUAGAGCUGGAGACCAUUUAACUGCUGUAUGAAUAAUAGAUAAGCGUCUUGAAUAACAUCUGAAUUUCCUAGCCAUUAUGAAUGGUUUUUGAUUGAUCUCACAAAGAGCAUGUGCUUUAGACAUUAAUGCAGCGACUACCAUGAAACAGAGUAUUGGAUUACCUAAGGAAAGAAGCAGAGGAUGGAAUUUGAGGCAAUCAGGAUGAGUGAAAAAUUGAUUUGCAGCUGACCUGCAAAUGGAAUCAUCAGGAACAUCCCUUUCUCAUGGAGUCCCUUAAUUUACAAGUUAACUGCAAACAUAGGAGAUGAUAGUUCCAAGAAGGAACAUUUUAUCGUCUUUGUUUUUAAUCUCAAGAAUGGUACCUACCAUCAGUGAAUGACCUGUUGCAGUGCUUUCAUUGAAGUGUUCUUCGUUCCCUCAGCAAUAUGAUUGUGAUGACUGAAAAAGGGAAACUGUGCCACUAUUUGUACCAUCAUUUUCACCAAAAUCUAAAAAUGCUUUUUAUGACGUAUGGAGACAUUCUUCAUGUUUGUUUCAGUGGACACUCCUUGCAGAUGUAAAAAACUGAGAAAACUCACUUUUGGAAAGUGACCUAAAGAGUGUCAUUGAAGUGAAUUUUAAGUAGGCACGAUGAUUGUUUUCAUGGUUGCUGUUGGAUCAUAUCUCAGGAGCUGGAAUGACAGACAUUAUUGAACAAAGAAAUCAGGAUAGUGGAACUUAAAGGGCUUCAUCUCAGUGCUUUCAUAAGUAUGAAGUGCAUAUAUUUAUAAUUUUCACUAAUCACAGGAAUAUUCCCUCUGUAUACUUGCAUUUUUUUCUAUCAAUUGACGCUUACAAUUAUUUUUGCAAGUUGGAAAAAAAUGCAGUAUUAAUUUCAUUUGCAACAAAUUUAAUAGAUUAAUUAGGAGAGAAUAGAUAUCUUUAAAAUUGAGUCUUCUGUCCAACUGCAAGUUAUAGCUGAGGUGGUACCAGUUUAAGAAGUGAGAACUUCUUCACUGACUGAAAUUUGCAUAUCAAUCCAAAUCAUUGUGCUUAUUUACUAUUUUUGUAGACGUCAUUCUUCAAAAGUGCUGCAUCUUCAAUAGUCAAGGAGGACAAAGACAUCUUUCCUGCAGGUGGUGACCAUGUGGAUAAUAGGAUCAUAGACAAAUGGUGGUUCCAUCUACAGCAUCACCGAAAUGCUGUUGUUACUGCUUCUUUCUGGGAUCUUCUUGCAUCUUUGCUUCUAAAGGGGCACACCUUUUAUAGAAGUACGUCCAGGAAUAGAAGUGACCUGCUUUUUCGCAAGUAAUUGCCUGGAAUGUUUUUAUGUACUUCUCUGCACUCUCAAUACAUUUCAUGCUUCCCUCUAUUUUUGUAUAUUAACUCAUUGUAUUUCUUAAAUUUAUAUUUUACUUUAUGAAUGGAAGUGAGAUUUGUGUAUGGUAAAUAUAAUUAAUUCAACCCCAUGGAUACGUUAGUCACUGUCCAGAUGAUGGCAAGUCUUUCUCAGAAGCAGAGGGCCUUGGUGUGCCAGUGAUUUUUUUUCCCCAUGUGUAAGAUACUUUUUUUCCUCAUUUGAAUCAGGAGCCCACAGUUUUUAGACAAGUCCCAAAUGAAAUCUUAAGCAUUUGUGUUAUCUGGACUAGACCUUCUGUAGUAUCCUUUUUGUUAGACCUAGUAUAUCUCAUUGCAGAUCAGGAUCUGAGAUUGACUAUAGUUCACCUCUUUCCAAGUACACAAACUUGGAUGACAUGACAACUGAGUGUGUAAGGGAGAGCGAGACCCUUGCACUGCCAUUUGAGCCCUUGUGAUCUCAUCUUGUAGAACAUGUUGUACAAUCAUUUUAUUGGUAUCAUUAGUGUUAUUUGGGGCUGGAAUAAAAAUCUCAGUGCACCAAAGAGAUUUCCCCUUUAUCCACGUUACCCUGGUUUUCCUUUGUUUUCUGUUUAACCUAAACGGGCUUAAUAUAAAAUAGUGCUUAUUUGGUGUUUUAAUUGUCUGCUUCUAUAACAUAAGCUGCACUGUCCAUUGGGGAACUGCUCACCAUAUUGCCCAACCUGUCUUGAUAGGUUUAUACAUGGGAGGCAUUCAGUAAUAUUAAUUAC